UGCAGAGUAUUGUAUAAACUCCUAGCCAUCAUGGACGUCCUGUGCUAAAAUCAGCGGAGACACUAAUGCAAUCAAGAAGCCCCCCAACUCCUCACACAAAAGCACCGCAAUGUGGGGAACUUAUUUGUGAAGCUUAAAGAACUCAGCAAAAACUGAUCAAUUCCUAACUUCCUGACCUCCAUUUACAUGGGGAAAGAGACAGGAAAAGCAUUGCGAAGGAACAAUGAAAACGACAACACUCUGGGGACACUGGCUUUUCCUCUGAUCUCAGUACUCUCCAUUGCAGAAGUCCAGAAUUUAAAAAGCUAGCAAAAUAGACAGAAAAAAUAAAGAUAUUAUGAAAUUUU